UACGUAGGGUGCGAGCGUUAAUCGGAAUUACUGGGCGUAAAGCGUGCGUAGGCGGUUGGCAAAGUCAGCUGUGAAAGCCCCGGGCUUAACCUGGGAAUGGCAUUUGGGACUGCAAGGCUGGAGUUUGGCAGAGGAGACUGGAAUUCCUGGUGUAGCAGUGAAAUGCGUAGAUAUCUGGAGGAAUACCGGUGGCGAAGGCGGCAUCCUGGACCGGCAUUGACGCUGAGGAGCGAAAGCUAGGGGAGCAAACGGG
rnacentral:rRNA from 1 species